rnacentral:rRNA from 1 species
AUUGAACGCUGGCGGCAUGCCUUACACAUGCAAGUCGAACGGUAACGGGCCUUCGGGUGCUGACGUGUGGCGAACGGGUGCGUAAUAUAUCGGAACGUGUCCGAUCGUGGGGGGUAACGAGGCGAAAGCUUUGCUAAUACCGCAUACGAUCUACGGAUGAAAGCAGGGGACCGCAAGGCCUUGCGCGGACGGAGCGGCCGGUGGCGGAUUAGGUAGUUGGUGGGAUAAAAGCUUACCAAGCCGACGAUCUGUAGCUGGUCUGAGAGGAUGAUCAGCCACACUGGAACUGAGACACGGUCCAGACUCCUACGGGAGGCAGCAGUGGGGAAUAUUGGACAAUGGGCGAAAGCCUGAUCCAGCCAUGCCGCGUGAAGGAUGAAGGCCUUCGGAUUGUAAAAUGCUUUUGUAAGGAAAGAAAAGCAGUCUUUUAAUACCGGAGUGUCAUGACGGUACCGAAAGAAUAAGCACCGGCUAACUACGUG